UACGGAGGGUGCAAGCGUUAUCCGGAUUCACUGGGUUUAAAGGGUGCGUAGGAGGGCAGGUAAGUCAGUGGUGAAAUCCCCGAGCUUAACUUGGGAACUGCCGUUGAUACUAUCUGUCUUGAAUACCGUGGAGAUGAGCGGAGUAUGUCAUGUAGCGGUGAAAUGCUUAGAUAUGACAUAGAACACCAAUUGCGAAGGCAGCUCGUUACACGAAUAUUGACUCUGAGGCACGAAAGCGUGGGGAUCAAACAGG
rnacentral:rRNA from 1 species